GUUGUAGACCUCACAAAAGGACACAAGCAGAGCACAGGACAUGUAGUCAGGCAUAGAGAUCAAUCAGUCUCACCCCAUUCCUCAUGCACUUCUGAGAAUGGUUUCUCUGCACAUGUGUAGUUCCACCUCUUCCCUCAGUGUGGCCAUGCCAUCUGCUUGGACCUAUACCUCACCUCUCCGCACCUAGGCCUGACGGGGAAAAAAAGAUCCCUGCAUUUCCUCCUCUUGAUUCCCUCAUGCAGGCUGUCAACAGCCUCGACUUUUCAGACCUCCUACCUCGCACGGCCAAAGGACUCGCAGGAGUCACGCGUCUCCCGAGAGGACCUGGCACUAGAGGGCGAUGCCGACAUGCGCUUCUGCCGGUGUCUCCACAAUUCGUUAGCAAAAGCAGAGGAAUCAGAUGUUAAUGAUGAAGUUUGUGAAAUAAGGCAAGUGGUAGGUUAUCACUUCAUUACAUGGUGCUUGAUUCUGGAACAAGAGGAAUUAGCCUUAAACAUCAUCCCAGAGACUGAAGCAUAUGGGGUUUAACAGCUACACUAGCAACAACACAUCCAUACUGCACAUAUGGCACAAUGAUGUGAGCAGCACAGAGCUAGGACACCAUCAAGGAAGAUGAAGAGUGGUUUCAUUUAAUCAUGAACACAUAAAGACAUGAACAGCAGGACUGAAAUAUAAAAUGUUUGGGUAGAAACUUCUGUGGGAAGGCUGUAUCUUUGCUAGUCCUCACUACACUGAACAGAGAAUGAGGAGAAAAAACACUUGGGCUUUCUGGGGAUGCUGACCUCCUGCUCUUGUAAGACUGGAGAAAAAAAAACUACAAAAGAGAAUGCAAAGCAAGAUCAUCUCUGAACACAUUACAAUUGCUGCUUUACCUAGAUGCUGAAUUCAGGCCUGCAGUUUUGCAAUGUGCAAUUUGUUCUCCCACAAUAACAUUUGUUACUGAGAUCAUGUUUGGAAGAAUGAAUGUUUUUGAAUGGGAAAUGGGCAAGAAAAUUCCUCUAGCUCCAGAACUGAAUCAGAAAGAAGUGAUAUAGACUUUCUGCAGAAACAGAAAGGUACUUUGCAGAAAGAGAGCACCUAAUUACCAGAUUUACUUCUAAUGUAUUGAGCAGAUUUAGGGAAAUCAUGCAGUGUGAAAUUUCAGCUGAUUCUGCUCUCUUGUCCUAUGCAAGAGCAAGAUCUUCAAAUGAAGCCAUUCAAAACUUAUUUCAAAUGUAAUAAAAAGUGGUUAUUCUUUAUCCAGAAUAGUUCUGGAUGUUUAAAAUGUGCAUAUGUGUAAGGAAAAUAAGUGAAAUAAAUUGUUGUUUUGCCAGUGUCUCCUUUGCAGCUGAUGGAAUGUAAUGUACUGGGUAUCCUUAAAAAGUGCUUGUCACUUUUCUAAGUGACACAAAAUGUACUUGUACUGAGUUAUUUAAAUUUUCUUGCCCAGCCAGGCUUCUCUGUGCAAAGGAAAAUGAUGUGUUUUAUUUAAAGGGGUCCAGAAAAGUUCUUGGAAGACUGAUAAUUUACAACAGAAAUUUCAAGUUUUCUCCAAUUUUAUCUCAGAAAACAGAGGGUUGUCAGCAUAAAGGUGGUUAAGGUCAGUCCAUACUGGUUCGUCACCAAAUGUUUGUUUACCUGCUCAUAGAAGAAGGAAAUUAUGUUUGCUGGUUUUGGCAAGUCAUGCCACUUUAGAACAGGUUUUACUCUCCUUCUAGAAGUUCACUCCAUCCCUAAUGAGUUAUUAAUCAGAAAUUAGUGGACUAGUAUAAGUCUGUGGGAGAUGAGAUGAAGAUCUGUGGAGACACCUUUCAUCCCAUUUUCCUUCUUUUAUGGGGCCUCAGCUUCUUUUAUAACAGUACACUAUUUAAUAGCCACUGCUGCUUUAGCCUGUAAGUUCAAAAGACCUAUAAAUUUCUUGACUCUGCUUAUCUGUCACGGAGCAGGAGUGCUACAAUAAAAUAUGGUAAUAAAUUAAUGAUCAAUAAUAGCUGACAAGGUUCCUUCUUGAUCUGCCCUGUGAGACAGCCUGAGCAGCUGGGCCAUGGGAGGGUUUGUGCUUCGUGUCAGGGGAUUAUAAGGCAAAGCUGAUGUUCUGGUCCUACACUGUUACUGCAGAGAAAUUUUUCAUGGCACAAACUGUUAUUUCACAGCUUAACUUCUCAGUAGCCAAACUCAAAUGAGAAACCUUAUAGAGGUGAGAACUCUUAUUUUUUUUUCUUUUUGUUGUGGGUUGUUAACUUUGGAACUUGGUUACAACUGCUUGAGCACCAAAACUAUUCAUAGCUGCCACUAUUACUGUAACUGACAUGACUUUUAGUCAACCUGCAGCCAAUUAAUAGGUUUUUAUGAGUGAUGGGGUGUGUUUCCUUAGGAGGAAAUAAAAAGACAUUUCAGCACGUUCUCUUUUAAUCUUCCCCAGAUGUAGAAUAGGUUAAUGAUUUCUGUUUAUCUUCCAGCUUCCAACUAUCUUCUGUUUUGUGUAUGGACACAGAAAAUGUCCACUCCUGAUCAUGGUCAACAUUUGGAAUUUGAUGUUUUCUGGAGUGAAUUAAAGGCUCUGGUUGUACGCUAAAGAAAGAGCAACUUGUAUUACUUGCCUACCUGCUUCCUCCUCCCAGGGCUGUCUCAAGGUCUGCUAAGGAUGCUGGGAAUUGUUGACAGUAUAAUAUUCCAGAAAUAGAAUGAAUACCCAACACUUCUUUGCAUAUAUUAACUAGAAUCAGUCUGUCUGUAUCACUGAUACAUCUAAUAACUUCAUAUUACGUGUUUCAUAUACAGUAACAUGGCAAAUAUCUGUCACAUAUAUUUAUUUCCUCUUUGUUUGAUUUGUUUUGGACUCACCAUAUUCUAAUCUUUACUAAAUAAA